UAGUCAGACUUAUCCAUGAUCCGGUCGCUUGUGAGGAUCACCUUCGGGCAGCGACAGCAACACUCCUGUAGCCUGCAAGGGAGUACACUAGAUGCUGUCGUCAUGAGAUUUUCAGCCAAAGGACAAGGCAAC
rnacentral:sRNA from 1 species